UUUAGCAUUGGCUUUACGGGCCAUAAUGCCAUUCCCCACCGCGUGUAGCAGAUGGGUUUUACCCAAGCCUGUUCCGCCAUA
rfam:Yersinia pestis CO92 complete genome